rnacentral:rRNA from 1 species
AUAUUAGGAAGAAUACCGGUGGCGAAGGCGACUUUCUGGUCAUCAUCUGACGCUGAGGUACGAAAGCGUGGGUAGCAAACAGGAUUAGAUACCCUGGUAGUCCACGCUGUAAACGAUGAGUGUUAGGUUCUUGGAAUAAUCUGGGAGCCGCAGCUAACGCAUUAAACACUCCGCCUGGGGAGUACGCACGCAAGUGUGAAACUCAAAGGAAUUGACGGGGACCCGCACAAGCAGCGGAGCAUGUGGUUUAAUUCGACGCAACGCGAAGAACCUUACCAAGUCUUGACAUAAUACGGAGGGAGUUAGAGAUAAUUCCUUAUCACUUCGGUGAGCUGUAUUACAGGUGGUGCAUGGUUGUCGUCAGCUCGUGUCGUGAGAUGUUGGGUUAAGUCCCAUAACGAGCGCAACCCCUAUCGUUAGUUACCAUCAUUAAGUUGGGGACUCUAGCGAUACUGCCGGUGAUAAACCGGAGGAAGGUGGGGACGACGUCAAAUCAUCAUGCCCUUUAUGACUUGGGCUACACACGUGCUACAAUGGCAGAUACAGAGGGCAGCGAAAGAGCGAUCUGAAGCGAAACUCACAAAGUCUGUCCCAGUUCGGAUUGUACUCUGCAACUCGAGUACAUGAAGUUGGAGUUGCUAGUAAUCGCGAAUCAGAAUGUCGCGGUGAAUGCGUUCCCGGGUCUUGUACACACCGCCCGUCACACCAUGGGAGUUGGCAAUACCCGAAGCCUGUGAGCGAACCUUUUAGGACGCAGCAGUCGAAGGUAGGGUCAGUGACUG